AUUCCUACGGGGCGCCGCAGUGGGGCUUAUUGCGUUUUUGGCGAAAGCCUGACGCAGCGACGCCGCGUGAGGGAUGAAGGUCUUCGGAUCGUAAACCUCUGUCAGCAGGGAAGAACGGUCACUGUGCUAAUCAGCAGUGAAUUGACGGUACCUGCAAAGGAAGCACCGGCUAACUCCGUGCCAGCAGCCGCGGUAAUACGGAGGGUGCGAGCGUUAAUCGGAAUUACUGGGCGUAAAGCGCUCGUAGGCGGUAUGUCAAGUCAAGGGUGAAAUCCCCGCGCUCAACGUGGGAACUGCCUUUGAAA
rnacentral:rRNA from 1 species